GGAGAGGUACUGAAGUGGUCAUAACAGCGCCGACUCGAAAUCGGAUGGGGCGUGAAAACGCCCACGUGGGUUCGAAUCCCACCUUCUCCG
rnacentral:tRNA from 1 species